CUGCAGCCCGAGUGGUGAUCGAUUUUAUUGAGCCUAAAGCAUCCGUAGCCGGCGCUGUAAGUUUUCGGUUAAAUCUGUACGCUCAACGUACAGGCUGCCGGGAAUACUGCAGCGCUAGGGAGUGGGAGAGGUAGACGGUACUCGGUAGGAAGGGGUAAAAUCCUUUGAUCUAUUGAUGACCACCUGUGGCGAAGGCGGUCUACCAGAACACGUCCGACGGUGAGGGAUGAAAGCUGGGGGAGCAAACCGGAUUAGAUACCCGAGUAGUCC
rnacentral:rRNA from 1 species